rnacentral:rRNA from 1 species
UGGGGAAUUUUUGGACAAUGGGCGAAAGCCUGAUCCAGCAAUGCCGCGUGCAGGAUGAAGGCUUUCGGGUUGUAAACUGCUUUUUGUACGGAACGAAAAACGCUUCUCCUAAUACGAGAGGCCCAUGACGGUACCGUAAGAAUAAGCACCGGCUAACUACGUGCCAGCAGCCGCGGUAAUACGUAGGGUGCGAGCGUUAAUCGGAAUUACUGGGCGUAAAGCGUGCGCAGGCGGUUAUGUAAGACAGAUGUGAAAUCCCCGGGCUCAACCUGGGAACUGCAUUUUGUGACUGCAUGGCUAGAGUACGGUAGAGGGGGGAUGGAAUUCCGCGUGUAGCAGUGAAAUGCGUAGAUAUGCGGAGGACACCGAUGGCGAAGGCAAUCCCCUGGACCUGUACUGACGCUCAUGCACGAAAGCGUGGGGGAGCAAACAGGAUUUAGAUACCCCU